UACGAAGGGUGCAAGCGUUACUCGGAAUUACUGGGCGUAAAGCGUGCGUAGGUGGUUUGUUAAGUCUGAUGUGAAAUCCCCGGGCUCAACCUGGGAAUGGCAUUGGAUACUGGCAGGCUAGAGUGCGGUAGAGGGUGGUGGAAUUCCAGGUGUAGCGGUGAAAUGCGUAGAUAUCUGGAGGAACACCGGUGGCGAAGGCGGCGUCCUGGACCAACACUGACACUGAAAAGCGAAAGCCAGGGGAGCAAACGGG
rnacentral:rRNA from 1 species